rnacentral:rRNA from 1 species
AGGGCCCCCCCAGGAGUGGAGCCUGCGGCUUAUUUUGACUCAACACGGGGAACCUCACCAGGCCCGGACACUGACAGGAUUGACAGAUUGAGAGCUCUUUCUUGAUUCAGUGGGUGGUGGUGCAUGGCCGUUCUUAGUUGGUGGAGCGAUUUGUCUGGUUAAUUCCGAUAACGAACGAGACUCUGGCCUACUAAUUAGUCGCCGGGUUCCCUUCUCGGGGGGGCCCGGCCUCUUUUCUUAGAGGGAUAAGCGCCGCCCCCCCGCACGAAAAGGAGCAAUACCAGUGCUGUGAUGCCUUUAGAUGUGCUGGCCCGCCCCCCCGCUUACAUUGAACGGGUUCACCGUGCUUUCCCCCCCCCAAGAGGAGGGGGAACCCCCUCCAUCCCCCUCCGGGAUGGGGAUGGGGGUUUGUCUCCAUCCCCCUGGAAUGACCAUCCCAGAGCAAAGCAUUGCAUUCUUCUAGUGCUGACCUGCCCUUUGUACUUUCGUACCACCCAUCCUCCAAAUAAAAAAAUGAAU